rnacentral:misc_RNA from 1 species
AAGCUUCUUAUGCAGGUAUUGCUUCAUUAACCACCUUCAAUUUCGUUACGUUUCUUCUAUUGGUGAAUUAAAUCUGGUGUAGAUGUUGUCGUUUGAAGUUUAGAGGUGUACUUGUUCUUGAUUUCUUUCGUGAUAACUUACAGCUUUCUUAAUGUUUUGUUUGUUUACUGAGAAAAUGUAGGUACCGUUUGUGUAUCAAAUUUAAAAAUCUUCGUAUUCUGUAGAAAUUCAACAGGGUUUUUUCCUAGUUCAAUUAAUUUGAUGUGUUCACAGACUCAUGGUGUGCGGGCUGGG